rnacentral:rRNA from 1 species
GGAUGCGGCGUGCUUACCAUGCAGUCGAACGGUGAAGCAGAGCUUGCUCUGUGGAUCAGUGGCGAACGGGUGAGUAACACGUGAGCAACCUGCCCCUGACUCUGGGAUAAGCGCUGGAAACGGCGUCUAAUACUGGAUAUGAGCUGCGACCGCAUGGUCAGCAGUUGGAAAGAUUUUUCGGUCUGGGAUGGGCUCACGGCCUAUCAGCUUGUUGGUGAGGUAAUGGCUCACCAAGGCGUCGACGGGUAGCCGGCCUGAGAGGGUGACCGGCCACACUGGGACUGAGACACGGCCCAGACUCCUACGGGAGGCAGCAGUGGGGAAUAUUGCACAAUGGGCGAAAGCCUGAUGCAGCAACGCCGCGUGAGGGAUGACGGCCUUCGGGUUGUAAACCUCUUUUAGCAGGGAAGAAGCGAAAGUGACGGUACCUGCAGAAAAAGCGCCGGCUAACUACGUGCCAGCAGCCGCGGUAAUACGUAGGGCGCAAGCGUUAUCCGGAAUUAUUGGGCGUAAAGAGCUCGUAGGCGGUUUGUCGCGUCUGCUGUGAAAUCCCGAGGCUCAACCUCGGGUCUGCAGUGGGUACGGGCAGACUAGAGUGCGGUAGGGGAGAUUGGAAUUCCUGGUGUAGCGGUGGAAUGCGCAGAUAUCAGGAGGAACACCGAUGGCGAAGGCAGAUCUCUGGGCCGUUACUGACGCUGAGGAGCGAAAGGGUGGGGAGCAAACAGGCUUAGAUACCCUGGUAGUCCACCCCGUAAACGUUGGGAACUAGUUGUGGGGUCCAUUCCACGGAUUCCGUGACGCAGCUAACGCAUUAAGUUCCCCGCCUGGGGAGUACGGCCGCAAGGCUAAAACUCAAAGGAAUUGACGGGGACCCGCACAAGCGGCGGAGCAUGCGGAUUAAUUCGAUGCAACGCGAAGAACCUUACCAAGGCUUGACAUAUACGAGAACGGGCCAGAAAUGGUCAACUCUUUGGACACUCGUAAACAGGUGGUGCAUGGUUGUCGUCAGCUCGUGUCGUGAGAUGUUGGGUUAAGUCCCGCAACGAGCGCAACCCUCGUUCUAUGUUGCCAGCACGUAAUGGUGGGAACUCAUGGGAUACUGCCGGGGUCAACUCGGAGGAAGGUGGGGAUGACGUCAAAUCAUCAUGCCCCUUAUGUCUUGGGCUUCACGCAUGCUACAAUGGCCGGUACAAAGGGCUGCAAUACCGUGAGGUGGAGCGAAUCCCAAAAAGCCGGUCCCAGUUCGGAUUGAGGUCUGCAACUCGACCUCAUGAAGUCGGAGUCGCUAGUAAUCGCAGAUCAGCAACGCUGCGGUGAAUACGUUCCCGGGUCUUGUACACACCGCCCGUCAAGUCAUGAAAGUCGGUAACACCUGAAGCCGGUGGCCCAACCCUUGUGGAGGGAGCCGUCGAAGGUGGAUGAUGCAU